rnacentral:rRNA from 1 species
UGCCAGCCGCCGCGGUAAUACGGAGGGGGCUAGCGUUGUUCGGAAUUACUGGGCGUAAAGCGCGCGUAGGCGGACUGGUCAGUUGGGGGUGAAAUCCCAAGGCUCAACCUUGGAACUGCCUUCAAAACUGCCAGUCUUGAGUCCGGGAGAGGUGAGUGGAAUUCCUAGUGUAGAGGUGAAAUUCGUAGAUAUUAGGAAGAAUACCAAUUGCGAAGGCAGCUUUCUGGAUCAUUACUGACACUGAGGAACGAAAGCAUGGGUAGCAAACAGGAUUAGAUA